UUGAGGUGACAGCAAUAGAAAGCAAGGGCUGAGCAGAGCAGAGAGCAUAGCAUGGGACACUGGUUGUGCUGGCAAGGAAUGGUCCAGCAGCACAUGCUCCCAAGCCACCAGCUUGUCACUGCCUGCUCUGCAAGCAGAUGCGAGUGGCUGCAAGGUUGUGGCAUGAAGCGGUGCUCUCAGCCAGCAUUCCCCAAAGGGAGAUCUGCAGGGAAUCACACAUUCUCCGCAUGGACUUAUGUACGAAAGGAAGCAGCUGGUCCCUGACAUUUAUUGCUCUGCUCAGUUUGGGAAGUUUGGCUGAAAUGCUGCAUAAAAACUUGUUUCUCUCA